UGCAGUAGAACAAAGCGGCGUCUUCUCUGACUGCUCGAGAAGCAGAAACGACAGCAGGUCGUUCUUGCAGCUGCCGUGGACACAGCUGAGAACCACAAGCUGAGCCGUGACGUCCACCUGGGGGUCGUUUUACUCGCUGAGCGCAAACAAAGUGGACAGGCAACAGUUACGCUCUUCUUGGCUGGGAUCUGUGGAUUCAGCUCCCGCAAACGAGGCCCUGACAACCAGCCUGUUCGUCCCAACACGGACGGAGACGCUCUGGCAACAUUACACCGGAGCGAUCCAAGCACGUCCAGCAGCGGAGCAGUGGAAACACUCCGGGCAGCCUUUCCAGGAGGAAAAGUCCAAGACAAAACUACACAGGGAGAAUCGAGUGGAUCGGACCGGUCUGUGGUGACCGCUACAUUUUCUCCAGAUAACUCAAACUGGGGAAAUGUUUAAUCUGUUGCAUGGCAACAGAACAAAACACCGUCAUGUUGUGGAACACCCCAACCCACCAAGCAGACGGCGAGCCUCGACCGAACACGAGGAAUAGCAGACUUUUCCCAGGCUGUUCUGAAAGGGUUUUGGCAAAAAAAAAGCGACUUAACGGCAAAAUUGACUUCAUCUCGUUAAGGGUUAGAAUCAAUGUAGGAUCGACGCGAGGACGCUGAAAGGGCUGAAACAGCCGUUUCAACUGACGACUCAGUAUUUAAAAUAAUUUGCAUUCAGUUCCAUGAGGUGAAACACUGGAGGGUAGAUAAAGGUACCAGUCUCCAGAGUUGUUUAAUUGGCUUCGGAAAUGAGCUACAUCGGCAGUGCCGUGUGGAUACAUUUCUAAAUCCUCUUCUAUCCUUUGUUUUUAGUGGCGUUUACACAUUUUACUUCUUUGAGUUCACGUACAGUUAAGCAGAUUUUGUGUGAACGGCCUGUUUAUUGAUCCUCAACACCAAAAUAAAUAUAUUCUUCAUCACAGACCACUGAGCAAUUUGGAUUUUUAGAAGUAUACCACAUUCCCAACAGCAGGAGACACGAGGUGUUGUGUUACUGGCCUGAAGGCUGAGACAGCAAUGCUAAAUUACCACCCUGAUUUUGAUUAGUGUUUUUAUACUCAUAGCAUAGCUAUUAACGCUGAUAUUUAGCUGUUGUGGAGAACGACAGUAAGCUCAAUGGAUUCGGUUCAGGUUAACGCAGUUCAGAGUGUUAGUUGCACUUAGCAGCUUGAGCUCCGCCGUGUCAGACCUGGUUCUGAUCAUGGGGGUGUUAAAUAAACCUCCACGUAGAUCUGUCCCUGUAGCUUUGUUUUUGUCUAAAAUGCACUUGGAGGAAUGUAAAUUGUCUAAAAGCCUAUGUUGGUUCUGGGAUCAGCUGGAGAUAUACUUUUAUUAUUGACGUAUGUAUCAGGUCAGAAAUCCGUGAAUUGGUGAAAUGUUUUUACCUUUUGGAACAAUGUCGGAGCAAAAUAAACAAAUACCAAAAUGGCUACAAAUUA